rnacentral:rRNA from 1 species
CUGGAAUGGAUUUUCGCUCAAAGGGCGCUUAGGGCAUGCUUCUAAGUGUUGCCCAAGGAUGGGGCCGCGGCCGAUCAGGUUGUUGGUGAGGUAAUGGCUCACCAGGCCUUUAACCGGUGCGGGCCGUGGGAGCGGGAGCCCGGAGAUGGGCACUGAGACAAGGGCCCAGGCCCUACGGGGCGCAGCAGUCGCGAAAACUUCGCAAUAAGCGAAAGCUUGACGGGGCUAUCCCGAGUGCCAUCCGCUGAGGAUGGCUUUUCCCUAGUAUAGAUAGCUGGAGGAAUAAGGAGAGGGCAAGUCUGGUGUCAGCCGCCGCGGUAAUACCAGCUCUCCGAGUGGUGGGGAUGAUUAUUGGGCCUAAAGCAUCCGUAGCCGGCUGGGCAAGUCCCCUGUCAAACCCAACGAUCUAAUCGUUGGCCUGCGGGGGAUACUGCUCGGCUAGGGGGCGAGAGAGGCCGUCGGUAUUCCCGGGGUAGGGGUGAAAUCCUAUAAUCCCGGGAGGACCACCAGUGGCGAAGGCUGUCGGCUAGAACGCGCUCGACGGUGAGGGAUGAAAGCUGGGGGAGCGAACCGGAUUAGAUACCCGGGUAGUCCCAGCUGUAAACGAUGCAGGCUAGGUGUUAGGGCGGCCACGUGCCGCUCUAGUGCCGCAGGGAAGCUGUUAAGCCUGCCGCCUGGGGAGUACGCCGGCAAGGCUGAACUUAAACCA